rnacentral:rRNA from 1 species
AGUCGAACGCGAAAGUUCCCUUCGGGGAGCGAGUAGAGUGGCGCACGGUGUGAGUAACACGUAGGUAAUCUACCUUUGGAUGGGGAAUAACGACCGGAAACGGUUGCUAAUACCGCAUAAUGCAGCGGCACCUAAUGGUGACAGUUGUUAAAGCGGGGGAUAGCAAGACCUCGCGUCUGAAGAGGAGCCUGCGGCAGAUUAGCUAGUUGGUAAGGUAACGGCUUACCAAGGCGAUGAUCUGUAGCCGGCCUGAGAGGGCGGUCGGCCACACUGACACUGACAUACGGGUCAGACUCCUACGGGAGGCAGCAGUCGGGAAUUUUGGGCAAUGGGCGAAAGCCUGACCCAGCAACGCCGCGUGAAGGAUGAAAUCCUUCGGGAUGUAAACUUCGCAAGAACGGGAAGAAUAAACCGGUGUUAACACCACCGGUGAUGACGGUACUGUUUGUAAGCUCCGGCUAACUCCGUGCCAGCAGCCGCGGUAAUACGGGGGGAGCAAGCGUUGUUCGGAUUUACUGGGCGUAAAGGGCGGGUAGGCGGCCACUGCAAGUCGGUUGUGAAAUCUCCGGGCUUAACUCGGAAAGGUCAAUCGAUACUGCAGGGCUAGAGUGCAGAAGGGGCAACUGGAAUUCUCGGUGUAGCGGUGAAAUGCGUAGAUAUCGAGAGGAACACCUGCGGCGAAGGCGGGUUGCUGGGCUGACACUGACGCUGAACUGCGAAAGCUAGGGGAGCGAACGGGAUUAGAUACCCCGGUAGUCCUAGCCUUAAACGAUGAAUGCUUGGUGUCUGGGGUUUUAUAGUCCCCGGGUGCCGUCGCUAACGCUUUAAGCAUUCCGCCUGGGGAGUACGGUCGCAAAGACUGAAACUCAAAGGAAUUGACGGGGACCCGCACAGCGGUGGA